rnacentral:miRNA from 1 species
UGGGUAUGGGUGCGUGUGUGUGUGUGUGUGUGUGUGUGUGCGCGUGUGCGCACACAUGCACACAUGCACACAUGCAUGACUCUG